rnacentral:rRNA from 1 species
GUCCAGACUCCUACGGGAGGCAGCAGUGGGGAAUAUUGCACAAUGGGGGGAACCCUGAUGCAGCGACGCCGCGUGGGUGAAGGAGUACUUCGGUACGUAAAGCCCUAUCAGCAGGAAAGAAAAUGACGGUACCUGACUAAGAAGCCCCGGCUAACUACGUGCCAGCAGCCGCGGUAAUACGUAGGGGGCAAGCGUUAUCCGGAUUUACUGGGUGUAAAGGGCGUGUAGGCGGGAGUGCAAGUCAGAUGUGAAAACCACGGGCUCAACCUGUGGCCUGCAUUUGAAACUGUACUUCUUGAGUACUGGAGAGGCAGACGGAAUUCCUAGUGUAGCGGUGAAAUGCGUAGAUAUUAGGAGGAACACCAGUGGCGAAGGCGGCCUGCUGGGCUUUAACUGACGCUGAGGCUCGAAAGCGUGGGGAGCAAACAGGAUUAGAUACCCUGGUA